rnacentral:rRNA from 1 species
GUGGGGAAUUUUGGACAAUGGGGGCAACCCUGAUCCAGCAAUGCCGCGUGCAGGAAGAAGGCCUUCGGGUUGUAAACUGCUUUUGUACGGAACGAAACGGUCCUGGUUAAUACCUGGGGCUAAUGACGGUACCGUAAGAAUAAGCACCGGCUAACUACGUGCCAGCAGCCGCGGUAAUACGUAGGGUGCAAGCGUUAAUCGGAAUUACUGGGCGUAAAGCGUGCGCAAGCGGUUUUGUAAGACAGACGUGAAAUCCCCGGGCUCAACCCGGGAAUGGCGUUUGGGACUGCAAAGCUGGAGUGCGGCAGAGGGGGAUGGAAUUCCGCGUGUAGCAGUGAAAUGCGUAGAUAUGCGGAGGAACACCGAUGGCGAAGGCAAUCCCCUGGGCCUGCACUGACGCUCAUGCACGAAAGCGUGGGGAGCAAACAGGAUUAGAAACCCCUGUAGUCA